rnacentral:rRNA from 1 species
CUCGUAGGUGGCCAACUAAGUCAGACGUGAAAUCCCUCAGCUUAACUGGGGAACUGCGUCUGAUACUGGAUGGCUUGAGAUUGGGAGAGGGAUGCGGAAUUCCAGGUGUAGCGGUGAAAUGCGUAGAUAUCUGGAGGAACACCGGUGGCGAAGGCGGCAUCCUGGACCAACACUGACACUGAGGAAGCGAAAAGCCAGGGGAGCAAACG